GACGAACGCUGGCGGCGUGCCUAAUACAUGCAAGUAGGACGCAGUUGCGAACGGGUGAGUAACGCGUAGGUAACUACCUAUUAGAGGGGGAUAACUAUUGGAAACGAUAGCUAAUACCGCAUACUAGUAGAUGGACCUGCGUUGUAUUAGCUAGUAGGUAGGGUAAUGGCAUACCUAGGCAACGGUACAUAGCCGACCGGAGAGGGAGAUCGGACAAACUGGGAAUGGGACACGGCCCAGACUCCUACGGGAGGCAGCAGUAGGGAAUCUUCGGAAAGGGGGGGAACCCUGACCGAGCAACGCCGGGUGAGUGAAGAAGGUUUUCGGAUCGUAAAGCGAUGUUGUUAAGGAAGCGGUACUUAACCAGAAAGGGACGGCUAACUACGUGACAGCAGCCGCGGUAAUAC
rnacentral:rRNA from 1 species